GACGAACGCUGGCGGCGUGCUUAACACAUGCAAGUCGAACGGAGUGGCGAACGGGUGAGUAACACGUGGGUGACCUGCCCUGCACUUCGGGAUAAGCCUGGGAAACUGGGUCUAAUACCGGAUAGUGUGGUAUGGGCCCGCGACCUAUCAGCUUGUUGGUGGGGUAAUGUCCUACCAAGGCUGCGACGGGUAGCCGGCCUGAGAGGGUAGACGGCCACAUUGGGACUAAGAGACGGCGCAGACGCGUACGGGAGGCAGCAGUUGGGAAUAUUGCACAAUGGGCGGAAGCCUAAUGCAGCGACGCCGCGUGGGGGAUGACGGCCUUGGGGGUGUAAACUCCUUUCACCAUCGACGCGGUAGAUGGAGAAGAAGAACCGGCUAACUACGUGCCAGCCGCCGCGGUAAUAC
rnacentral:rRNA from 1 species